CCUACGGGAGGCAGCAGUAAGGAAUAUUGGUCAAUGGACGGAAGUCUGAACCAGCCAUGCCGCGUGCAGGAAGACGGCCCUACGGGUUGUAAACUGCUUUUGCAGGGGAAUAAACCCCGAUACGUGUAUCGGGCUGAAUGUACUCUGAGAAUAAGGAUCGGCUAACUCCGUGCCAGCAGCCGCGGUAAUACGGAGGAUCCAAGCGUUAUCCGGAUUUAUUGGGUUUAAAGGGUGCGUAGGUGGCCUGUUAAGUCAGGGGUGAAAGACGGUAGCUUAACUAUCGCAGUGCCCUUGAUACUGAUGGGCUUGAAUAAACUAGAGGUAGGCGGAAUGUGACAAGUAGCGGUGAAAUGCAUAGAUAUGUCACAGAACACCAAUUGCGAAGGCAGCUUACUAUGGUUUUAUUGACACUGAGGCACGAAAGCGUGGGGAUCAAACAGGAUUAGAUACCCUGGUAGUCCACGCCCUAAACGAUGAAUACUCGAUGUUGGCGAUAUACGGUCAGCGUCUAAGCGAAAGCGUUAAGUAUUCCACCUGGGGAGUACGCCCGCAAGGUGAAACUCAAAGGAAUUGACGGCGNGAGACGNGCGAGACGACGACGAGGAGAGG
rnacentral:rRNA from 1 species